rnacentral:misc_RNA from 1 species
AAAAAACAGAGAAAAGAAUCAAUAGAGGAUUCCAAAUUCCAAAUCUACUCUCUUUAUUAUAUUCUCAUCUCACCUCACCCCAACCCACCCCACCUCAUCCCUAUUAUACCUAUGCUACCAAAUAUAUCUAAUCAUCACUCAGGCCUAAGCCCAACAAUUUUUCUUCCAAAUUCCAAAUUCUAAAUCUACUCUCUUUUUUUAUCUUCUUCUUGUGUGGCAAUUCAGGAAGAGAAGAGAAGAGUGGUGGCUAUUCGGAAAAGAAAGAUGAAAUGUUUUAGUUAGGCCUAAAGUAACCCAUCAAUCAGAAGGAUAAAGAACAAGUUUUUGCUAAUACUAAUGCACUCAGACAUCACUAACAGGAGUGGUAGGAGUAUGGAUUUUGGGAAAUCUUGCAUCUUUUUAAUCAACGAUUUUUCAUUUUCUUCUACUUCUUCUUGUUCUUCUUCUGGGUUUUGUGAUUAUUGUGGUUCUGCAAAAUCACCCUUACCAUCAUCAUCUUCUUCUUCUUCUCUCCACUCCUUGUCUUUUGGAAGUGAAUUUCCAGAGCCCAAUACCAUGGAAUCUGCCAUCAAGCUUUUUACUUCCAAAUUCACUUCUGCUCUUUUGGCUCUUCUUUAAUAUCUCCUUCUCCCUCUCUUUCCACUUGUAUAUUGUAUUUUAUCGCCAGACCUAUCUGACAUUGUUUUCUUGAAGUAAUUCUCUUCUUUCUUUCUCUUUCUCAACAAAAAAUGUUGAGUGCGUCACUUGCCUCCUUGUUUUGUAAUCCGUUAAUGACUUGUAUUGCUGCUUCUUCAACAACUAACCCGGAAAUUCCAUUUGAUCUUCGACCCAUCAGGUAAUUUUUUGUAUUCCCAUUUACCUUUCUAUCUUUCUAUUGCUAUUAGUAAUCAAUUAAUUAUCCUAUAUCAAAGUUGUUGUUUGAUGGACAAAAAUUGUUAGCUUAUAAUAAUAUUGAUGGGUUUGUGUGUGUUUGCUUGUUAAUCCCAUCCUUCUUAAGGUAUGUGUUGAAUUUAAUAAUCCAUACAUAGAGGUGGAAGAAGGAUUUUUGUGGUAAUCAAAAACCCAAAUAUCCCUUUAUUCUUUACACGAUGAUGAUCAUCAUCAGGUAUGAUCAUGAUCAACGUUGGAUGUGGACGAGGAGGAGAAAGACCCUUUUCCCAUGGACAAGGAAUGGGACUGCAAUUGUUUCAGUUUCAGCUUCAGCUUCCUCUCUUUCUACCAAUCAGAUGACAAGGGACUCUUCCCGCCUCAAUGUUUAUCAGGAGGUUUAUUUGUUUUAUCAAUGAACAAAAUUAUUUACUUUUAUGUUUCCCUCUUUUUCGUUGAUACCUUCAUACUGAGUUCUUGUGAAUUUUACCUUACUUGUUAUAGAUUGCACUCUUCCAUUGUGAACUCCUUCUUAUCCUCAUCUUGCUGCUGAAAACAAUUCCCAGGUUGUCAAGUCUGCAAGGGAAAGGUUCACCCGGGAAAUCUCCUUCCAAUCAAAGGACAAAGACAUCUCUCUUGCGAAGGCCUUGCUGUACGUUGCAGCUGAAGAUGAGGCAUUUCUUGCCUUUAAUAAAGAGAUGGAUGCUCGCUCACUCCUAAAUGAAAGGAGAACUGCUUCAGUCCCAAUGGAUGAGCAAGAGUGGGAUUGUCUGGAGCAAAUGCCAUUGGCUGGAAAGAAAAUAACUGAGUGGCUCAGUGAGUUGGAUGCCAUUGCAAGAGAAGUUGAAGCAGAGCUAGUUUCAAGAGACAUAGGCUGCCAUUUGGUUGAAGUUUUGGAUGCUAUAAAUGUAGUUCUUUUUGAGCUAAGAGGAUUCAAAAGGUCACCUGUUGUUGUAGACUCCAAGUAUUCAUACUUGCACACUGUGCUUAGCACUGGAUGUGGCAGUGCAAUUUUGCUUAGCAUAAUUUACAUUGAAGUUUGUAGACGACUCAGUCUGACCAUUGUGGGAUCUCAAGUUGGGGAGGAUUUUUUGAUAUGGCCCCAAACAGGGAAUCUGGAGGAGCUCUUCAAGGUGACUUCAGGGCACAGCUUGUUUGCAAUUGUUAAUGGAAGGUGUGUGGAGGAUCCUAGAUCAAAGGCAUCAGAUUUGACCAGCAACUCACUUUUAGGGCUUGAGAUAGCUACAAAGCGAGAUAUUAUUGGGAUUUCUUUGGCCAAUUUGAUUAGGCUUCACUGGAAACGUGCUUCAAGAUCAAAUCAUGGAUUGAUGCUGACUUCUCCACUUAGGCAUGUUCAUAAUACUGACGACAAACAUAAGAUGAUCCAUAAUUCAAGUGUUCCUUUGCUUCGGCCGAGAGAUCUUAGGCUCGCCAUCAUGGCUUCCGAAAGAUUGCUGAUAUUGCAUCCACAUAAUUGGGCCUUGAGAAGAGAUCAUGGAAUGAUGCUGUACUAUAAUAGGGAAUAUGGAGAGGCAGUGCAAGAGCUUAGCAUAUGUAUGGCCUUAGCUCCAGAAGAAGAGGCAGAAAUUCUAGAACCAUUUGUUGAGAAAUUGCACUUGUUGCGGCUCGAAUCGUCCUGGAGGUCUAUGGAACAUGCAAGUCACCUUAAAGUUCCUUGACCACCUUUAUCUGUAAAUAUCUCAGUAUAGCUUUGUUCUCUGAGCUUUGCGCAAGUACUUGAAUGCUCUCCAAUAAUAUUCAAAUUGCAUGUUUUUGGGCAUACCAUGCAAGGUUCGUGGCAAGCAAGAACUGCCAAGAACUGCCAGGUUAUAUUUGGCAUGACAUAAUCAAAACCUUAAAUGUAAUUGCCUUUACAUUACUUACUUUGAUUGGGUAAAGAAAAUCUAUUGUGAUUGAAUGCAAAUCACAGAGUGCGGAAAUUAUACAAUACUCCUAGAGCAAAUAAAAAUAAUGCUCCUUUUAUCACAAAAGGG